rnacentral:ncRNA from 1 species
AAAAAGUUUGAUUUUGGCUUAUAUAUUUAUGUGAUAAUUAUUUUUGCAUGUAAAUUUUUGUGUGAUUUAAAUAUUAAUUUUAAAAAAAUUAAUUUAAAAUUAUAUUUGCAGCAUUUAAUUUUAAUAAUUAAGUAAUUUUAGAAUUAUUAAUUAUUUAAAAAUAUAGGUAAAAGAUGUGCCAGCAACUGCGGUUAUACAUUUUAUAUAAAUAAAUAUUAUUUAUAAUGUAAUUAUUUAGAAUUUAUUUAAAAUUAUUUUUAUAUUUAAAUUAAAUUAAAUUAGGUGAAAUUAUUUAUUUUAUUUAUUAUAUAUUAUUAAUUUAUAAAUUAUGAAAUCUUUUUUUAAACUAGGAUUAGAUACCCUAUUAUUUUAUGAUUUAAAAUUAUUUUAGAGGAUUAAUAGGUAUGUUCUUUAAACUUAAAAAAAUUGGCGGUAUUUAACUCUGAUUAGGGGAAUUUGUCUUUAAAAUGAUAAUCCGCAAGAAAUCUUACUUUAAUUUAAAAUUUAUUUAUUGUCGUUAGCAGAUUAUUUUAAAAGAAUAAAAAUUUUCUAAAAUAUUUAUGUUGGUUAUUGAAUAUAUAUUUCAGAUCUUUAUGUAGUUUAUAUUAAAGUUAAGAUGAAUUACAAUAAAUUUUAUUUAAACGGAUAAUACUUUGAAAUAAGUAUUUUAAGGUGGACUUAAUAGUAAAAAAAAAUAUUAUAUUUUUUUGAAUUUAGAAUUAAAUAUGUACAUAUCGCCCGUCACUCUCAUUUUAAGAUGAGAUAAGUCGUAACAAAGUAGAGGUACUGGAAAGUGUUUCUAGAAAGGU